AUUAACUUUAUCUACUAUGUGACAUAUGAAAGGGUUUAUCAAUAUACGAGUUAAUGUGAUCAUUGAUUUAGCGCGUGAUAGUAUUAACGGUUGAAAGAAAACUGCGAAUGGCAUGUGCUGAGUUUAGUUAUAGAAACUUUGCCCUGAGCAUGUUGUUGGCCAGUAUCCACUGCUGCGGGGCUCUCUGUAUGGUGGUCCGGCAUAGCUUCCUCUGACUGUCGCCCUCGCUGGCUCCCCAAACACAACACAACGCCUCCACAUAUGAUACGGUGAGACUCUCCGGGUCCUUGAUGUUCUGGAAUUUUAAUAUAUAUAUAUAUAUAUAUAUAUUUAGUCUUGACCAGUGUAAAAAAAGUUAUGUCAGAUUUGAUUGAGCGUACUUAUGUUGUAUUUAUAUAAUAUCCGCCAUCUUAGAUUUAAAAUAUCAGAACAUAAGAAACAUGGACUCAGUGAGUAUACUCAUAGACAGACGUUUUAUUAAUAUUUUUGAAGGUACUUUGUAAACUAUGUUUUAAAAAUGUGAUUUUCAUAUUAUUUCAAAGGCUUUAUGUUAAGUGUUAGGUAAUAUAGCCAUUCUAUACGGAUAAUAUACCUGUAAAUGUGCGUCAAUGACCUCUGCUAUAUCACCGCCCAGGCGGCUCAGGUUCUCUAAGGUUGGAUCUUUGAGAAAUCUCCCAAUAUCCGUCUCUACUUCCUCUAUGCCUGUAUAACAUGAAAAAAAUUUUUAUACCACUAUGUGCUAUAAAUUAAAAAUAUUAUUGAAUUUAUUUAUAACUGAA